UAUAUCAGAGUUUGUGCACAAACCAAUUAUAAGCCUCCCACACAUUAAAAAUUUUAGAAUGCAUCAAUUAUAUUGAUGAUAAGGUAUUAUCAGCCAAUUAAAUCGAUCUUUUUGGAUUAAUCUAUUACAUCAUAAUUAUAAAAAAAAUAUUUAUAUUAUAUUUUUUUUUGAAAAAAAAAGUGAUUAAUUUGUUAUUGCCGAUAUAUGGUGCAAGUGUGACACAGUAAAUUUUCUUCACACAUGGGUGUUAACGCAUC
rnacentral:lncRNA from 1 species